rnacentral:rRNA from 1 species
GGGGGGGGGGGGGGGGGGGGGGGGCGGGGGGGGGUCGGGGGGGAGGGGGGGUUGGGGUGCGGACGGGGGGCGGAGGGGGGAGGAAUACAUAGGAACGGGCCCGGGCGUGGGGGAUAACGAGGCGACAGCUUUGGUAAUACCGCAUACGGGCUACGGAUGCAAGCAGGGGACGGCAAGGCAUUGCGCGGACGGAGCGGCCGAUGGCAGAUUAGGUAGUUGGUGGGCGAAAAGCUUACCAAGCCGACGCUCUGUAGCUGGUCUGGGAGGAUGAUCAGCCACACUGGGACUGAGACACGGCCCAGACUCCUACGGGAGGCAGCAGUGGGGAAUUUUGGACAAUGGGCGCAAGCCUGAUCCAGCCAUGCCGCGUGCAGGAUGAAGGCCUUCGGGUUGUAAACUGCUUUUGUACGGAACGAAAAGCCUUCUUUUAAUACAGGAGGGUCAUGACGGUACCGUAAGAAUAAGCACCGGCUAACUACGUG